CGCUGCAUGUAUGACAAAAAUGUUUCCAUGCUUUCAGCUCUUCCAAGUUGGGGUAACGCGAAUUUUUAAAGUCGUUGAGUUGAAGGGCGCUUUCUUCUUCAGUUGAUAGCUCUUGCAGGUGUGGUGGGAAACCAAUCUCAUUGGCCUCCCCACCACCGUUAGCAUUCGUCCUCCCCAGCCUCGGUCCUCUGAACACUAUGGCAAUGGUGGGCUCAGCUUCCACAAUUCUCUUCCCCUUUUAUCCUCUUCAGAUCUCCCUAUGCAUGUGUUGCAGCAACAGGGCUUGGAAAUUGAAGACCAAUUGGUCCCCUCUUCUAGGAAUGGACAAGGAAAAGGGUCACAUUGCUUGUUUCUCAUCCAAGAAGAAACUUGGCUUCAUGGACCAAAUUCUUGAUUACAUUGAAGGUGGUCCAAAGUUGAGGAGAUGGUAUGGAGCUCCUGAUCUCCUUCCAAAAGAUGGAUCCACUGAAAAAUUAGAUGAAAUUACAGAGGAGGAAGAAGUCAGGGAUGCAGUUUUAGUAACAGAUGGAGAUAGUGAGAUUGGCCAGAUGGUGAUAUUGUCGCUGAUUGUCAAACGAAUUCGAGUUAAAGCACUAGUGAAGGAUAAGCGGGCUGCUAUGGAAGCCUUUGGCACUUAUGUUGAGUCAAUUGCUGGUGCUUCAAAUGAUAGCACAUCCGUGAAGAAGGCUCUCAGGGGUGUUCGUGCAGUUAUAUGUGCAAAUGAUGGUUUUGUAUCUAAUAUUGAGGGCUGGAAAGGAUUGGAGCAUGUGAUCCUAUUAUCUCAGUUGUCUGUUUAUAGAGGCAAUAGUGGGAUUCAAGCAAUGAUGAAUAGCAAUGCAAGAAGACUUGCAGAGCAAGAUGAAUCUGCACUAAUGGCAUCAAGAGUGCCCUACACCAUUAUCAGAGCUGGUUUGCUGAAGAACACACCCGGAAGGCAGCGUUUCAGCUUUGAAAAGGGUUGUGCAACGCAAGGAAGCCUUAGCAAGGAGGAUGCUGCCUUCAUCUGUGCAGAAGCUCUUGAUGCAGUCCCAGGGAAAGGAUUCAUAUUUGAGAACUGAGGCUAGGAGCUUUAAGGAAAGAGUAACUAGCGCGUGGUUAGUAAGGGUAUGCUACGUGAUGCUUCAACCUACAUCCAGCAAAAAGAAUCCAUUUAGAGUCUGUAGCAUCAUCUAUCCAAUACCUAUCUGUUUCAAGGGAACCGGAGAACAGGACUGAUAUAUGAGGUGGUUAAUGGUGAAGAGGCUGUCUCAGAUUGGAAAAAGCGCUUUGCUGCAUUGAUGGAGAAAUCAGGGUAGUAGCUUUCUUCUUAGAUUUGUCCAUCAAGAUGUUUGGUGAGACUUCCUCUUCAUCGUGGUAAGCAACAGGUGUUUAGCCAUACAAUGAGCAAAUACAGGCAUCAGGAAAGUUAUUGCUACUACAAGAUCACGAUUUCCAUUUAUUGCUAAAGCUUCUCGUUGUGGAUUUAAAACUCUUGCAAACUUCUGUGGUCCAGGGAGUUCUUUAGAUUUUGCUGGCGUUCUGCUUAUGCACGCCUUCUUUCCGCGACUGAAACAUACAUUAUGAAGAAGAAAUACACAAGCACAUAUACAGGCUUCAGUGGAACUGA